AGCGAACGCUGGCGGCAGGCCUAACACAUGCAAGUCGAACGAACUCUUCGGAGUUAGUGGCGGACGGGGGAGGAACACGUGGGAACGUGCCUUUAGGUUCGGAAUAACUCAGGGAAACUUGUGCUAAUACCGAAUGUGCCCUUCGGGGGAAGGAGUUAUCGCCUUUAGAGCGGCCCGCGUCUGAUUAGCUAGUUGGUGAGGUAAAGGCUCACCAAGGCGACGAUCAGUAGCUGGUCUGAGAGGAUGAUCAUCCACAUUGGGACUGAGACACGGCCCAAACCCCGACGGGAGGGAGCAGUGGGGAAUAUUGCGCAAUGGGCGAAAGCCUGACGAAGCCAUGCCGGGUGAAUGAUGAAGGUCUUAGGAUUGUAAAAUUCUUUCACCGGGGACGAUAAUGACGGUACCCGGAGAAGAAGCCCCGGCUAACUUCGUG
rnacentral:rRNA from 1 species